UCAGAUCAUGUAAGAUUUUAAUGAUCGAACAGAUCAAAAUUUUAAACUUUUGCAUUUAAAUUUUAUCUUAAUCCAACAUCGAGGUCGCAAACUUUUUUUUUUAUUUGGACUAAAAAAAAAUAUUACGCUGUUAUCCCUAAGGUAAUUUUUUCUUAUAAUCAUUAUUAAUGGAUCAUUUAAUCAUUUAUUUAUGUUUAAUUUUUAAAAAAAGUUAAUUUAAUUUUUCUAUCACCCCAAUAUAAUAAUUAAUUUUAUUUUAAUGAAAAUUUUUAUAUAACUUUAAAAUAAAAAUAAAUAUAAAACUCUAUAGGGUCUUCUCGUCUUUUAAAAUUAUUUUAGCUUUUUAACUAAAAAAUAAAUUUCUAAAAAUAAAUAAGAGACAGUUUAUAUUUCAUCAAAUCUUUCAUACAAGUUUUCAAUUAAAAAACUAUUUAUUAUGCUACCUUUGUACAGUCAUUAUACUGCAGCCCUUUAAUUUUUAUCAGUGGGCAGAUUAGACUUUAAAUUAUAUUCAAAAAGACAUGUUUUUG
rnacentral:rRNA from 1 species